CAUGUCCUCUUGAUUUUAUUUAUGAGGUUUGACCUGCCCAGUGAGUACUUUAACGGCCGCGGUAUACUGACCGUGCAAAGGUAGCAUAAUCAUUAGUCUUUUAAUAGGAGGCUGGAAUGAAGGGUUUGACGAAAAAUUAGCUGUCUCAGUUAUAAAUUUAAAUUUAACUUUUAAGUCAAAAGGCUUAAAUUUUGUUGGAGGACGAGAAGACCCUAUAGAGCUUUACAUUUAUAAUUUAUAAAGUUUUUUAGAUUAAUAAUUUAAACUUUUUCUUUUUUGAUGUUUUGUUGGGGUGACAAGAAAUAUAUAUUUAACUUUUAUUAUUUUAUUUACAUUAAUUUAUGAUUAUUAUGAUCCAAUAUUUUUGAUCAAUAGAAUAAGUUACCUUAGGGAUAACAGCGUAAUCUUCCUUCAGAGUUCAGAUUUACAGGAAGGCUUGCGACCUCGAUGUUGGAUUAAGAUAAUAAUUAGGUGCAGUAGCUUAAUUAAUAGGUCUGUUCGACCU
rnacentral:rRNA from 1 species